rnacentral:rRNA from 1 species
AUGAUUUCUAAUGACUUAACCUCUACUCCUAGUGUGUUUUCUUCUUUGGUGCUAGGUCUCAUAUAUGAUGACGCGCCGAUUCGCGAUGACUACGUCCUCCCUUUGGACACGACGAUGGCCAUGGUGGAACAUGAUGCACCCCCCACAUGGUUCCAUCAAGAUGAAGAUGACCACCAUUUGGUCUUUCCCACCUCACCUACACCACUUGAGUGGAAUGACAAAGGUAACAAAGGUGACGGUGAUGCUCUAGUCCCACUAGUGGACAUUCCUGAGAUUGAUUGCUUGCAUGAUGUUGACCCACCUAUUACCAUGCUUCAUGCUAGUGAAACUUCUUCAUGCCUUGACUUACCUAUUUACGAUGAAUAUGAUGAUGAGCAUGUUGAGUUUCCUAGUUGUGAUGCUAUGCUCCAUAGGAUAUCAUGUGAAAAUUCUAUUGGUCACGUCAUGUUUGACAAUCCAUUGAACUUGUCAUAUGCUAUGAGUGAUAUUUCUCAUAUUUCAUCAUUUCAAUCUCAACAUAGUAACUAUGCAUGCCCCAUUAAAAUAAAUCCCAUUUGCACUUAUGGCAUAGAUGACGAGAUGAUGGUCAUUGGCUUAUGUUUUUCAUGUGAUGAUAUUGCCAUGCUUCCUUUACAUGAUUUUCGCAAUUCAUCUACUAUGCCAUGCCAUGAUCACAUUGCUCCAAAUAUGCAUUGUUUUGGAUGUUGUCAAUAUUCUCCAUGUGAUGUUUCCAUUAAUGCUCAUGAGGAGACCCCCAUAGUUUCCUCAUACAUAUUCGGAGAUCUUGAUACAUUUCAUACUUUGCAUGAUUCCCAUGAUUGCGUGCACCAUAUGCAUUCCAUGAAUAACAAUGCUCUAGAUAUUUCCCAUGAUGCAUUACACAAUUUGAGUCUCCAUUAUGCUAUACAUAAUAACAAACCUCUCAUGAUGGAUGACAUGUUUCUAUAUCACGCAUCUCAUUUAUUUGAGCAUUGGAUAUUUGGUGCUAACCAACACAAGCACGCGCAUCAUGAUGGAUGA